ACGGGAGCAAGGGCACACAUCAACAGCACGGAUAAUCCAAUCCUGAUGAACGCCAUAUUUUCUCUCUGGCCGUUGGCGUACUUACUCACUGAACUAAGUGGCACGUGUUACAACUGCGGUAAUCCGCGUAAACUGAGAUCUAAUCACGCAAUGAGUGCAAUGAGACGCAACAUUCGCACGAGUGACGGGUAGCAAAAUCGUAACCUUUUAUCAGUACGCACCGCAGAAAACAAUGCAAACCGAUUAAGAUUUGAUUCAAUCGAUACUAUACCACCAAUCUUUCCGUGUUGAUUACGACCGUCAAACAAACGUAGCAACGCAAUCUUUGACCGCCAAAAAACAAACGCAAUCUAUUGAUGUAGGGGUUUUGUGUUUAUUCUACUCCUGAUAUAGUAUCAAUAAUCGUACUCUAAUGAUCUUGAUCCCGGGUACUUGCGCAAAGGGGCUACGGAAUCCAGGAUACGGGAAAACAAUAACCCCGCGUGAUAU